rnacentral:rRNA from 1 species
GUCGAGAAUCUUUCACAAUGGGGGCAACCCUGAUGGAGCGACGCCGCGUGGAGGAUAAGGUCUUCGGAUUGUAAACUCCUGUCAUGCGUAAACAAGGUUGCUUGGUUAAUACCUGGGCAAAUUGAUGGUAACGCAAGAGGAAGAGACGGCUAACUCUGUGCCAGCAGCCGCGGUAAUACAGAGGUCUCAAGCGUUGUUCGGAAUCACUGGGCGUAAAGGGUGCGUAGGUGGCGUGGUAAGUCAGAUGUGAAAGCCCGGGGCUCAACCUCGGAACUGCAUCCGAUACUGCCAUGCUAGAGUACUGGAGAGGUGACUAGAAUUCUCGGUGUAGCAGUGAAAUGCGUAGAUAUCGAGAGGAAUACCAAAGGCGUAGGCAGGUCACUGGACAGUUACUGACACUGAGGCACGAAGGCCAGGGGAGCGAACGGGAUUAGAAACCCGAGUAGUCC